GACGAACGCUGGCGGCGUGCUUAACACAUGCAAGUCGAACGAUGAAGCCUUCGGGUGGAUUAGUGGCGAACGGGUGAGUAACACGUGGGUAAUCUGCCCUGCACUCUGGGAUAAGCCUUGGAAACGGGGUCUAAUACCGGAUAUCACACUUCUAGGCAUCUAGUGGUGUUGAAAGUUUUGGCGGUGCAGGAUGAACCCGCGGCCUAUCAGCUUGUUGGUGGGGUAAUGGCCACCAAGGCGACGAUCAGUAGCUGGUCUGAGAGGAUGAUCAGCCACAUUGGGACUGAGACACGGCCCAAACUCCUACGGGAGGCAGCAGUGGGGAAUAUUGGACAAUGGGCGAAAGCCUGAUCCAGCCAUGCCGCGUGAGUGAUGAAGGCCCUAGGGUUGUAAAGCUCUUUUGUGCGGGAAGAUAAUGACGGUACCGCAAGAAUAAGCCCCGGCUAACUUCGUGCCAGCCGCCGCGGUAAU
rnacentral:rRNA from 1 species